rnacentral:lncRNA from 1 species
AUGGAAACUAACUUAAGUGGGAAUGACCCUAGCCGCCGCCGCCCCUCCCCCUCCCUCCUCCCUGCUUCGCCGCCGCCGGAGCUCGUCAACGGCAAACCCGAGCGACGCGCUGGGAUGGCGGCGGCAGGGCCAUCUCUCUUGGCUUCAUCUCGCCCCGGCACGGGCGUGGCGACGAUGGCGGCUGGACGGCGAGGUCGCGGCGGCGGUACGGUGAGGUCGCGGCAACGGCGUGGUGGUGGGGCUCUCCGCGGCGUUGGCAGCGCGGCGAUGGGGCUCUGCGCGGCUCCGGCGAUGGCUUCGCCAGAUCCAGUUGCCCCGCCAGAUCUGGCCGGGGUGACGACGGCGGCGCGGCGGUGGGGCUUUACGCGGCCGGCGACGGGCUCGGUCGGCGCCGGCGCCGUCGGGCGUUGGCAGGUGGCCUGCAGCUCCCGCGCGUUUCAUCGGCGACGACGGCUUCGGGUCGGCGGCGGCUCACGUGGUCAGCGGCGGCUCAUUCGGUCGGCCGGCGGCUCUCAGCGGAGGGCGCCCCGGCGCCAGCUGCCGCGUGGUCUUGGCCGGGGGCAGCAGGCCUGCGGCGGCCUUUGCCGGCGGCGGGGACGGCGCCUCUCUCUUCAGUGGUUGUUCCAUCUCCCUCCCUCCUGUUCCUCUAGAUCCGGCGGAGUCGGAGCUGCUUGUCUUGCAAGCUCGGCAAUGAUGACCCUCAAUGAACGUCCCGGCAACGCGGCAAGGGUUUGGAAGUGGAGCAUUUUGAGAGAGCCUCGGGUGAAAACCUUGCCUAGUGCUAUCCUAGGUUGAUGAUAUUGAC